rnacentral:rRNA from 1 species
UACGUAGGGGGCAAGCGUUGUCCGGAAUCAUUGGGCGUAAAGCGCGUGUAGGCGGUUCGGUAAGUCUGCUGUGAAAGUCCAGGGCUCAACCCUGGGAUGCCGGUGGAUACUGUCGGACUAGAGUACGGAAGAGGCGAGUGGAAUUCCCGGUGUAGCGGUGAAAUGCGUAGAUAUUGGGAGGAACACCAGUGGCGAAGGCGGCUCACUGGACCGGUACUGACGCUGAUGCGCGAAAGCGUGGGGAGCAAACGGG